GAGGGCAUAGCUCAGAGAUACAGCACAUGCUUAGCAUGCAAGAGGUCCUGGGUUCAAUCCCCAGUACCUUCA
rfam:Camelus ferus unplaced genomic scaffold scaffold125148, whole genome shotgun sequence.